rnacentral:lncRNA from 1 species
UAUUAUCAUUGUCAUAACUUUUUAUAAAGUAACACUUGUCAAAACUACCUGGAGGUAUUUAAUAACCAAUGUAAACAGUUUCAUGUGAUGUCAAUCUAUUAAUGUGUGGUAAUUUUCAAGGUUUGCUCUGAUCAUAAGUUAGAGCAGCAAUACAAUAAUUUGCUCUUCAUCAGUAUGUCCUGAGCCUUUACAGAGAUGGACAGUGUUAUCAAUUAGAAUAGCAUUUCUUGUCUUUUUUAAAACU